AUGUUCUAAAAAUAACAGUAGUCACCAUGAAAUUCCUUAUAAAAAAUUAUAGUUGCUGUUCUUUUUAAAUCAGAAAUACUUACAUCAAUGCAGAUUUUAAAUUACAAUAUUUAUUAUAAUUUUUUUUUUUUUAAAACAAAAAUGUCUUCGGUGUAAAUGAACUUUGGCCUUUUCCGAGUCACUGCGCAUGUCAAACCACCACGUCACUAUGCUGCAGCAUCCGGGUGCAGACACUUUGGGAAGCUAGAUGGUCUUUUUUUACCUCCAAAACAUGACAGAAAAGUGAAAGAGAAAACACUAUUUUCACGAUGACUGGGAGGAAGAGUUCUUUUUCACGACAGUGAAAGAUAAAUGUAUGUGUCCUAUUUGCGGGGCGACUAUUGCGUCGGCAAAGUGGCACAAUGUGGAGAGAUGCUACUUUAGCCUCCACAAAGCUUCCACGCUAACUAGCCACCUGCUAGCGCACAUGGACUGUAUGCGCACUACGGACAUGAAAAGCCCGGGACUUAAAGGCAGCUUUGACAUCUAUUACGUGGCAAAAAGUUUCUUCGUGGAGAAAAAUGUACCAUUAGAAAAGCUUGUUUUAAGAUGGGGCUCCUCCAUGACGGUCGGCAUGCAGGCUUCAUUGUACGAUGCAGAGGUGAUCCAGACUUCCCAACAUUCCUACAUUACCACUGCAUCAUUCACCAGCAGGACAUAUGUAUGUACAAAAGUGGCCGGAUUUGAUCAUGUGAUGACUCCUGUCGUGAAGAUCAUAAAUGGCUCCAAAGCCAAACAACCAGGACAUUGAAGGUGCUGCUGGAGGAGCUGUCAGCUGAUCAUGGUGACCUGUUACUACACACAGAAACCCCAUGGAUCAGCAGGGGAACAGUUUUGCAGCGUUUUUUGUCACUGUUGGCCAAAAUCAAACAGUUGAUGCAAUCCAAAGGGGAAGACACCUUGCUGCUUGAGGACACUGAGUGGAUUCUUGCCCUUGCAUUUUUAACGGAAAUCACUGGGAAACUGAACCAUCUGAACUGUGAGCUGCAAGGUAAUGGUCAGCUGGGAUAGACUCCAGCCCGCCCACGACCCUAAUGAGGAUUAAGCGGUGUAUGGAUGAUGGAUGGAUGGUUUUGACCACAGAUAACAGCGCCGUGCUACCCCAUGACUGAAUUCAACACACAUUGUUGGCUACGGUACCUGUAUGGAUAGACCACUGAUCUAAAGGAACAAUAGCCUGCGGUGGAGUUCUGAGGAGCAGCCAAAACCACGAACAAUGAGAGGGGCGUCGCGUGUCUCAGCAGGAGGCGGUUCAUGCCCGGGCCAUCAUAAGGGAAAACGUCAAGAGACACGACUAGAACCAGGUGAAAUGCCGGGAAUGUCAGACUCCCGUCUGGCUUCCUGCAUUAGAAAAUCGUGCCACAGAAACGAGAGAGAAAGUGAAGGAUUAUGUUCAGUGUCCAGAGAGGUAGAAUGUGGGGUCAUUGAUGCUGACUGGACCAAAGCAACUAGCAUUAAAUGACGAAAGAAUCAGCUCUAAUUUCUCUAUCACCUCUUUUUUUUUUUUUUUUAAACAAACAACAAAAUCUCUCUAUUAUCUGACACAAUCUGACCUCUUGUGACCAUGUGUGCCUUGAUAACCGACGUGUUCAGUGUUAAUGAACUACAAAGACGAAUAGUUUCUUGGAUCACGUGUAGCGCAGUUGAAGGUAAAGGUUACGUACAUUUCACUCAGAGACACUAAGAACAAACAGGGCAUUUACAGCCCAUGGUUUUGGCUGAAAAGGCUCUGCUGCUUGUGGGAGUUUUCAAGGAAGCUUAGCAGCAACGAGGAUCCUCCUGGAGAGCUAAUCCCCCAAAAUAAACAUACAUGAACGUAAAUCUGGGCUACAUCAACAACACAAAAAAGCCCCACAGAUUGGGGAUGUGAAGGGAGCCUAUAAUCAGCAAAGCCACAGUGAUAAGUGUCAGGUUAUAAUGUAUGUGCCGUUCACCUGCAUGAAUAUGACUGUCUGUUCCGAGCAGCUGUGAAUGAGCCACUGAGUCAGAAAUAGAUGUGCAUUAAAAAACUGAGUGGAUUGCCAGUUUUUUAGAGAUUAUUUUUUAUGAAAUAAAAUUAUAUUGUUGUUUGAAGAGAACUAUUUGCAGAUAAGUGUCAAAAAGGCUGAUUAAAAUAUAAUG